UGAGCUCUUCUUGCUGGUGAAUAAAACAAUCAAAUAUUUUGAUUACAGUACAGUUUUUAAAAAGGUUCAUGAGAGCACAAUAUGGCUGAUCCCGUUUUCUUCUGUGUCUGAGCCAAAUGAAUGGAGACACUGAAUGCAGCUGCAACCUGAAGUUAGUCAUUUAACGGAUAGCAUUAGCUUUAAGCAACUUUAUAGGGCCAAACAUGUUUCAAUAAAUGAAAUGAACAUUAAUUUAAUAAUUAAUAAACAUUAAUUUGAUCAUUUUAAUUAAGUAGUUUGUGGUUUUGUUGGGUUUUUUUAGUCAUGACUCUUUUAAAGCAAUAUUAUCAACGCAGUGACACAAUAACCACACACACGUUGAUUCAUUAAUUCAGGGUAAGAAAAAUAAAACCGUAAACCAACUGAAGUGAUGACGUAACUAAUUCCAGGUGCGUGUGUUUAUUUAAAUGACAACUUUCUGACCAAUGGCUGCCGAGAUUCAGAACUAGCAAACCACUUUAAAAAAGGCAGAAAACUCGGCUUGUUUUAUCAGAAACUUUAACAUUUUCUCUGUCAGACCAGGAAUAAACGGCGUUAAAAGCCGCUGUCCCCGUUUCCAGAAUCUUCCCUCCCUCUCCGGUUAAAGCUUUUUGGCGAUGCGCUCCACUUCCUGCGUUUUGGCCAUUUCUGGGGACUCUUCCUCGUCAGUUCAGCUGCUCUGCUGCGGCGAAAAGCUCCAUGUAAGAAGAGGGGAAAAAAUCCCUCUCUCUCUCUUUUUCUGUCCUUCUUUCCACACAGUCUGUCGGGUUUCUCUCCCAGCUGCUGUUUCUCGCUCGCUCGUUUGUUGUGAUGUGACACCGAGGGACGAUGGGAAAUGGAGUUUGUACAUGGAGACCAAAACCCAACUUCUCCAGUUUUCUAAAGAUAACUACCAGCACAGUGAAUAAAAUAAAAUUGUAUUUCCGUAAAAAGCAUUAUGUGAAUGGAAGGUUUCUUUGUAAGAAAUAAGCAAACCGAUUUCAACAUAUGGUUGUGGCUUUUUAUUAAAACAUAUGGAAGCAAAA